rnacentral:lncRNA from 1 species
GUCAAGAUUUUGCUAAAUUAAAAUACAGCAACUCAUUCUUCUCCGACUCUUGGAGUGGUCAAUCCCAUCUUGAUCACACUCCAACUUCGUAAGUACUUGACUGUGCCCAGAAGCUUUCCAUCACUGAAUUAGAAAUUCAGUUAGUCUAGUACCAAAGUACAGUGAGUUGCUUGCAAGUCACUGAGGCGAUCUCAGGUCUAAGAGACACUUAUACCUAUAUCCCAUC